CAUGAGGAGAAAGGAUGAACACCACUGAGAGAUGCUAAGUUGUAAACCAGUAGAAAUGUAUAGUCUAGCAAACUAUAUACUGUAAUCAAUUGACACGUACGGUCAUCACCAUUUCAUGAAGUGUUUGAUGGUGAUACAGAGAAAGUGGAAGAGGGGACCAGUGGUCACUCUCUCUCUCCCUUCAUGAUCCCUCAUCGUUCCAAUGGAAACCUAAACCGAGAAUAGAAACCUACACCGGUAGCUGAGGCUCAAGGGGCCCAAGAAUACUAGGGCCAAGGCCCCAUGAAAUUCUUUAAAAGCUUAUAAAACGAAAAAGUAAGUGCAAUCUGAGAGAGAGAAAGAUAGAGCUUACAAAUAGAGAUGGUUGCUACUAUUCCGGCUGUUGGGUCUGAGCCGCUCUUUUGGGGGGAGUAAUUCUGAUAAGAAUAGCUUGGCCUUGAUGUGUUAAUAGUUAUGGUUGGUGGAAGGUAAGGAAGGUAGAAUGGAGGUGGGGGAGCUCGAGCCAUAGCCACUGCUAGAAAGAGAGAUGCUUCUGUGUGUGUGUGUGAGGGAGAGAGUGUGCACAGAGAAAGAUGCUACUGUGUGUGUGAGAGAAAUAAAAAGAAAACUACAACGGUGCUUUCAAUUGCUUGGCCGGCCAGGACAUGAAUAUUCCUGUUUGGCUAACUCAUUCCAAACUGGAAACGGUUAAGAUUACGGCCGCGGUGUUUUGCAAGCCAUACC
rnacentral:lncRNA from 1 species